rnacentral:lncRNA from 1 species
GAGGCGGCGACGUGGAAAGAGAGGCGGGAAAGCCCACACGGAGCUGCCCAAGUCAAGGGGCGGUGGGGCUAAGGGGACUCUAAGGGCGAGAACUGCGGGUCGGAAGCCCGGCGACAAUCCCUUCCCCUCCACGUGCAGCGAGGGCACCUCCUCCCCGGGGAACCCACCCAGCCGCUCCCAACCUGGAGAACAAAGGGUCUGGGAAGCACGGUCGGGGUCGGAGAGCGGAGGUGGAGGGACGCAGGAAGGCGGUGGGGGCAGGGGAGGGCUUCUGCUUGCACUUCCUCUCUGGGCCGAAAGACGGAAGGCUGCACGCAGCUAGCGCCUUGUGGAGGCUGUUUCUCUAUCCAGAAGGGCUCGGGAUCCUUACCUAGCGGCCG